CGAUUUGCAAAAUUCCAAGGAAAGGAGAGGAUGCGGUGGAAGCGUUUGCGGUUGGAACUAUCCUAAUGGAAACCACAGAAAAGCAUAAAAAAAGCAGUAUCAGGCCAAAAGUGACAUUCUCUGGAGGGCCCAAAGACCAGGAAUCGGAUACAAGAAGAAAGAUGGUUAUCAACCCUGCUCUCCUGAGCUGACGGGAGUGGGGCAGCUUGGACUGGGCGUAGUGAGUGAAUUGUUUUCACUGGCGGCUCCCCUAGGCAGCGGCUGUAUUUUUCCACUGCGUGGAUUACACUGGAGAUUAAUUCUGGUUCAGCCAGUGCCUGUUAAGCAGAAAGUGAUGGCCUGAGCCCACGGGGGAAGUCAGCCACGGCAUCUGCCAUGGACUUGAAGUUGCUGGUACGUUUCCACGAAAGGAGAUAUUUGCAAUAGUAAAUUUCUAGGGUUUGAAAAAAACACUGGGUACGGUUUGUUUUGAAAGGCACGAACACACUUCCAAUGGGAAGCCCAGCCAAGGAAAUGAGCUUGCCAGCUCAGGGUAAGUUCUUAGAACUUAGAACACAAGGAUCUUUCAGGCCAUGAGAGUCAAGCGGCAGAUGGUAAACCAGUGGGUAAAGGUCAAGGACACUGAUUGUGUGUCAAGGCCUUAAAUGACCUGGCUGGACCAGGACCACUGUUCAGGGCACUACUAAAGUCAACAGAGAGGUUUCCUUUUCUGCUUCCUACAUCACUUCAUCCAGAGACAAGUAGCAGGGACAGGAGCUAAGGGACCAGUGACCCAAGAGCUUGACUGUUAUUUAACUCAACAUCAUAGACUGGAUUAGGAGUUGGUAGGCAAUUACACCAUCUCUGUUUUGGCCUGAUUGACAAGAGCAAAAAUCCAGGAUCUUACCCUAGAGCAAGUCAGAUCUGAUUGCCUAUCUUCAACAAAAUUAUGAAAUCAGACUAGCAAGUGACCUGAAGGA